UUUGCAGUGUUUCGAUGCCAGAGCUAACUGAUGGCUGCACAUGGUUCCUUCGUAUGUUCUUCCUUUGAGAAAAUAAACGUGUUUCGAUGCCAGAGCUAAGUGAUGGGUGCACAGGGUUCCUUCGUGUGUUCUUCCUUUGAAAAAAUAAACGUGUUUGGAUGCCAGAGCUAACUGAUUGGUGCAUAUGGUUCCUUCGUAUGUUCUUCCUUUGAAAAAAUAAACGUGUUUCGAUGCAAGAGCUAACUGAUGGGUGCACAUAGUUCCUUCGUAUGUUCUUCCUUUGAAGAAAUAAACGUGUUUCGAUGCCAGAGCUAACUGAUGGGUGCACAUGGUUCCUUCGUAUGUUCUUCAUUUGAAAAAAUAAACGUGUUUCGAUGCCAGAGCUAACUGAUUGGUGCACAUGGUUCCUUCGUAUGUUCUUCCUUUGAAGAAGUAAACGUGUUUCGAUGCCAGAGCUAACUGAUGGGUGCACAUGGUUCCUUCGUAUGUUCUUUCUUUGAAAAAAUAAACGGUGA